GAGUGAAGAGGGAAGAGCUCAUCAUUGGAAUCUGGCAGUGUUGCACUGUCCGAGUUGUAGAUGAGGAGUAGUCCGUCUGGACUGCAUGGCGUCCAAGUACAAUAGGCCGUCAGUGGGACAUCAUAGAGGGUGACAAUCCCGUCCUUGAUGCCAAUGUGCAAGUCUAUUACGAUGGCUAUCUCAGAGAGUCGAGCAGUUUGGGAUUUGCUGCUUAAACAUGGGAGGUAGAUUCCUUCUAAAGCUAAAUACAGGCGAGAGACCGAUAGAGAACAAGUACCGCAAGGGAAAGAUGAAAUAGCACUCUGUGAAGGGAGUCAAAAGGCGUGAAAUUGUUGCGAGAGAAGCGAUUCAAGUCAGCGUAGCUAGGCCCAUCAAGCGUCUUCGCUUUGGACUAGCUUUGCCAGCGGUCUUGUCCCUUAAAGAGACUUGACUUGUAAUAUGUCCAGCCUGGCGUGCACAGGCAGCCCCUUCUGGGGGCCAGUGGCAUGGCUGGUGGAAUGGCUUGCAAUCGACCCGUCUUGAAACACGGACCAAGGAGUCUAACAUGUAUGCGAGUAUAAGGGUGGCAAACCCGUAUGCGCAAUGAAAGUGAUUUUCGGUGAUUGAGAAUGGCCUGAUGACCAGACAAGCAAUAUAUGUCCCUCGUACGGCCAUUGCCCAAGUUCCGUGGUAGAUCCCACGAACAUGGAGUUGGAGCAUACAUGCUAGGACCCGAAAGAUGGUGAACUAUGCCUGGACAAAGCGAAGCCAAAGGAAACUCUGGUGGAGGCUUGUAGCGAUUCUGACGUGCAAAUCGAUCGUCUGAUCUGGGUAUAGGGGCGAAAGACUAAUC
rnacentral:rRNA from 1 species